ACACGACUACAUUAGAUACCCGCGUAGUCCCAGCCCUAAAUGAUGCGAGUUAAGUGUGGGGGCAUCUACGAGAUGGCCCUGUGCUGUAGGGUAGCCGUUAAACUCGCUGCCUGGGAGUACGGUCGCAAGGCUGAAACUUAAGGAAUUGGCGGGGGAGCACAACAACGGGUGGAGCUUGCGGUUUAAUUGGAUUCAACGCCGGAAAUCUUACCGGGACCGACAGCAACAUGAAGGCCAGGCUGAAGACUUUGCCGGAUUAGCUG
rnacentral:rRNA from 1 species